CUGGCGCUACAGUCACGUGAUUGAUUCACGCGCCACCGGAUGGCUAAUUUACAGUAGCUAAUUGAAUUUUUACCUCACAAACCAGAAAAAAAAGGCGGUUUGGGGGUUUAUGAGGAAAAUAAGAAAACUAAAUGAAGCUACAAAAAGAAGGUAAUUGAGAUCUGUUCCUGGAUAGAGGAACCCAUUUUAAGGUGGGGGUGUGUAAGUGCAGGUGCUGACUAAUGGCCCAAACCAUAAAGAGGACCGAGAUGCCUAGAAAACUCGCUUGAGUUCGUUGAUAUGAACACACUGUGGGGCACAGUCACUUGUCUACAGCCGGCACAUCACCCUGAAGCGAUGAAAAGUGAUCGGGCUUCCUGACACAAAUGUUUUCACACCCUGUCUCGUAAUUGGAGUUAUUCCUAAGGAAAGAAUUCCAGGUUUGGGAGGUGUUAUGAACUGGCUCAAUUGGCAAAAGAAAAAGCCUGUUAACCGUGAUUGCAGUCAAAGCUCAAACCUUGUAGCCACCCUCACGAUUGUUUCAUCAACACUCUGAUAAACAGAAGUAUGCUUUAAAA